CAUUAAUACUGUUUACCCUCCCAACCCCCCCUGUACAUACCAUAUUGGGGCCUCGGGGGGGCCUGUUUCGGCAGCCCGCCAGAGGACCCAAACCCUAUAUUUUUAUACAGUAUCUUUUGAGUAAAUGAUUAAAUAAAUCAAAACUUUCAACAACGGAUCUCUUGGUUCUGGCAUCGAUGAAGAACGCAGCGAAAUGCGAUAAGUAAUGUGAAUUGCAGAAUUCAUUGAAUCAUCGAAUCUUUGAACGCACAUUGCGCCCGCCAGUAUUCUGGCGGGCAUGCCUGUUCGAGCGUCAUUUCAACCCUCAAGCCCCCGGGCUUGGUGUUGGAGAUCGGCGAGCCCCCCGGGGCGCGCCGCCUCCCAAAUAUAGUGGCGGUCUCGCUGUAGCUUCCUCUGCGUAGUAGCACUCCUCGCACUGGGAAACAGCCUGGCCACUCCGUUAAACCCCCCACUUCUGAAAGGUUGACCCCGAAUCGGGUAAGAAUACCCGC
rnacentral:rRNA from 1 species